rnacentral:hammerhead_ribozyme from 1 species
AUCCAGUUGACAAGUCCCAAAUAGGACGAAACGCUCGUCCUGGAU